GGUAACUUUUAUAAAAGAAGGAACUAUUUAUAGGGAAUUAAGCGAGGUUAAAGAUAUGAAAUGUGCUGUAGUUGAAAAAUAUUUUAGAGAAGAAUCAAUUGUAAUAUAUAAUUUUUAUAACCCGUGUAAGAAGAUUUUAAUAAAGUGGGUUGAAAAGAUUAGGAAAGAGACAAAGGAAUUAUGGUGUGGUGAUUUUAAUGCACAUAAUUGGCUAUGGGGAAGUAAAAAUAUAGAUUAUAAUGGGGAAGUAAUUGAACAGCUCAUGGAUGAUAGAUCAUUAGUAUGUUUAAACACAGGAGAAGGAACUAGGUAUAAUUUAACAGAGAAUACGGUAUCAAGUAUAGAUUUAACAUUAAUUUCAAAUGGUAUGGCUGAUUUAUGUGAAUGGAAAGUAAUUAGCCAGAACACAGUUGGGAGUGAUCACUUUCCAAUUAUGUGUAAAAUAAAUGUAAAUAAUAAUCCAGAAUGCUUACUACAAAAGAAAUGGUUGUAUGAGAAGGCAGAUUGGAAUUCCUUUAGUAAGCAUUGUGAAGAUAAUAAAGACUCAGUGGAUGAAGAUACAGUAGAAACUUUUUGUGAUUCAGUUACAAAUCUAAUAAUGGAUGCUGCAACAUUAUUUAUACCACAAAGGAUAGCAGGUCAGAAAAACAGAAAUAUUCCAUGGUGGAAGGAUGAAAGCAGUAAUGCAAUUAAAGAAAGAAAUAAAGCAUUUAAACAACUCAGGGAAAAUAUGAGUAUGAGAAAUUUGAUAGAAUAUAAGAAAGCAAGAGCUAAAACAAGAAUAAUAAUUAAGAAUGCGAAGAGAGAAGGAUGGAGAGAAUUUUGUUCUACCAUAGGAAAAGAUACUCCUAUGGAUAAAAUAUGGAAUAUCUUAAGGAAUAUGAGUGGUAAAGGAAAGAAGUCGGCUCUAAAACCAGUUUUAAUUGAAGAAGAUAAAGUUGCAGUAAUAGAUAUAGAUAAAGCAAACAUGUUAGAUAAGGUUUUAGAAAGAGCACAUAGAAUAUAAUUGGGAGAAUAAUAUGAGCUAAGGAAAAAGGAUAUUUUAGACAAAAAUCCAGAUAUAAUGAAGAAAAGAAAUAGCAAUAGUAGUUGUAUGGAUAUAGAGUUUACACUAACAGAACUAAAGGUUGCAUUACAAAAAUGUGCCAAUAC
rnacentral:lncRNA from 1 species